UAGAGUUUGAUCAUGGCUCAGAUUGAACGCUGGCGGCAGGCCUAACACAUGCAAGUCGAGCGGAAACGACACUAACAAUCCUUCGGGUGCGUUAAUGGGCGUCGAGCGGCGGACGGGUGAGUAAUGCCUAGGAAAUUGCCUUGAUGUGGGGGAUAACCAUUGGAAACGAUGGCUAAUACCGCAUAAUGCCUACGGGCCAAAGAGGGGGAUCUUCGGACCUCUCGCGUCAAGAUAUGCCUAGGUGGGAUUAGCUAGUUGGUGAGGUAAUGGCUCACCAAGGCGACGAUCCCUAGCUGGUCUGAGAGGAUGAUCAGCCACACUGGAACUGAGACACGGUCCAGACUCCUACGGGAGGCAGCAGUGGGGAAUAUUGCACAAUGGGCGAAAGCCUGAUGCAGCCAUGCCGCGUGUAUGAAGAAGGCCUUCGGGUUGUAAAGUACUUUCAGUUGUGAGGAAGGGUGUGUAGUUAAUAGCUGCGCAUCUUGACGUUAGCAACAGAAGAAGCACCGGCUAACUCCGUGCCAGCAGCCGCGGUAAUACGGAGGGUGCGAGCGUUAAUCGGAAUUACUGGGCGUAAAGCGCAUGCAGGUGGUUCAUUAAGUCAGAUGUGAAAGCCCGGGGCUCAACCUCGGAACUGCAUUUGAAACUGGUGAACUAGAGUGCUGUAGAGGGGGGUAGAAUUUCA
rnacentral:rRNA from 1 species